CCCACCCCCACCCCGGUACCUCGCAGCACCCCGGAGUAGGCAGCGAUGAUGGUCUUCAUUGCGGAGCGGUGCUCAGGUCUCGGCCAGGGCCAUGGGAUGGAAAACAGCACCCGGCUCCGAAACCCGGCGCAACCGGUUUUCCCACUUGGUUGAGUCUGACUGCACCUUCUAUCACCAGCUACAAGGCAGAAUUGUGAUACUAACUGACUCAUAACCUACUGUGUGAUAUUCACUGGACCAUGGGUGAGAAGCUUCUGCGACACAAAUCAGCAAUAAUGAUCUUAAAUUUACCAGGACAUCCAAAAGAGGCCCCAGAUCUGCUGCAGAUGUCCAUUUAGAAGCACUCACCUUUGAGGGAAACUGCAAUCGGACCUGUGCUUGCUAGUUACACCUUGUAAACAUAUUUUUGCCUCCUUUCACCUUGUCCCAGAGCUCCCCUCUGUGAAUGCAGGAGAGCAUCACUGUUGGUGGUCUGGGAGAAGGCACAAAUGCUCUUGCCCUGAAGUGCCUCUGUCUAUCAAAAGCCAAAGUUUUUGCUUCUUUGUGCUACAGAAACAGCUGAGGUUUAGGGGUUGUUUGCAAAGUUUCAGUUUGCUGUUUUAGAACAAGCAUGCUCACUAGCCACCAGUUUUAUGUAUGUUCACUGAUUAAAACAGAGGGUUAUUUUAGCAAGGAAAGGAGUUAUAUUUUCCAUUACAAAACUGGAAAUGCAGCUGCAAAGAGAAAAGCAUAAAACCGCUACAGCAAAGACCUGGGACCUACUUGACAUUUCUCCUCACACUGUUCCUGCUACUGGGAUUUCUUCAUAGGUACUCACUACUAAGGAGGCAGAAGACCCUGCUUGGCAGGGCUCUGCUACUAAAAUGAAUUUAUCUCUGAGACCUGGGCCUUCGUACAUGCUUGGAUAUUUUAUAUUAGCUCUUGAAUUUCAAAACACAUCUCCAGAAUCCAUGCGCGGUUGAAAAUGCUUCCCUUGAUGAAUGAAGAAGGAUCUUGGAACAGAACUUCAUCUCCUUCCCUUGGGAAGUCAGCUAAAAAACCAUCCUCACAACACUCUGCAAGUUGUACAAGGGACAUCCCAUAGGAGGUUGUCUUUUGAUUGCUCCUGGCUCAGCUGAUCUGACCAAUAACCUGGGCCUUCCAGCAGUGUUAGAAUAGCUUGCAGUUUCCAUACUAUGAAAAUCACAUCAUUUCUCCAAUACUUUUUGCAGUCCUGCAAUUGCAGGGCUCUAUGUAGAGAUCACGUGUGAUGAAUCAAUGGACUAGAGGUACCUCAGUCCCCCAUGGUGUUAAAUUCAGGGGGUUGCAUCACAGCCAGAUAUAAAACAACUCAGAAUUAACAAAAUCUGCAGGGAAAAGGUACGAGCCUAGUUUCACAACUCCUGCGAGUCCCAGCAGAGUAGUUCCACAGAUGUGUGUGGGCAGUAGGCACAGACAGAUCCAGUCUUGCAACCCUUUACUCACCCAGGGAGUCACGUUGACUGCAGCAAGACUGUUUCUGUAAAUGCUCACUGUGUACUCCACAGCUGCAGGAUCAGACCAGGAAAUGCCGAGGAAGGGUGGUAUUCAUUGGUGGCAUCUACAAGCUGAAGGGCAAAAACCUGAUCUGGUCACUUUAGGUUGUCUUUACUCUUGACAGAGCCUCUAAGUGGCUCUUCAUCUCAUUCUGUAAUGUUGGAGUGUCUGAGAAAGGUUUAGAGAAUCACAGAACCACAGAAGGGUUUGGUCUAGUUCCAGACCCCCUGCCAGGGGCAGGGCCCCCUCCCCCCAGCCCAGGCUGCUCCCAGCCCCGUCCAGCCUGGCCUUGAGCCCUGCCAGGGAUGGGGCACCCACAGCUGCUCUGGGCAGCCUGGGCCAGCGCCUCGCCGCCCUCACGGGGAAGGGUUUCUUCCUCACGUCCAACCUAAAUCUCCCCUCUCUCAGCUUAAAGCUUUCCCCCUUGUCCUAUUGCUACAGGCCCUGCCCAUUUCUAUACAUACUUAUAGAUUUAUAUAGAAAGAGAGAAAGAAGGAUAUCAAUCUGGGAAGAAAUAGGCCAAACAAGUUGAAAUUACAAUUAUUUUAAAGCAAGCAAGUUGGAAUUAUUGAUUAUUUUAGAGGAUGCAAGCUGAAUUGCCAAAUUCUUACUUAAAAAUGGGAAGUAAAGAGGUGAUGACAACCACAUUUGACAGGUUUUUAGUGUUAAACUUGUUGCCUUUCUCGGAAAGUGUAAAUGACACAGAUAAAGCCAGAGUCCUCCCCAUGUUAGCCCCAUGGCUCAGGAGUCCCUGCAGCCUCAUCUCUUCUUUCGGUGGUCAUGUCUGUUAAUCUCUGUUUCCCCUCUCGUUCCUUCUAAACCUGCCAAUCUCUUUGGCAUCAGCUCCCUUGUAAAAACACUUGCAAUCCUGUUGUAUCAGACCUCCUUGUGUCUGGGAUGUCCACAUCCUUCAGCCAAGGUCUGAGACGGGGUGGAUUUCACAUCUAGCUGGGACCAUGUGUGCGGCACAGAGGUCACUGCUGCCCCAGCACAUGACACUGAUGAUGCCAGGACAUGCUGCUGGUUCUCUCUUCCCAAACUUUAGUGGUGGGCAUGGCCAGAGUGGGAAGGAGAGGUGGCACAACAGUGCAACAAGGAAGAGUGUGAACACCUAUAUAUCUCAGCCCAGAUCUAGUCCCUCCUGGGGCCAGUAGAAAGGACUUUUCUACUAAAACAUUUCCUUCUCCACCACCAGAUCCUUCCUGCUCCAUGCUGGCCAUGACUUCCUUCUCCCUUACAGUCAGAAAAUGCUCUCCUUCAUGGUAACCCCCAAAGGCCAUGUUCUCCAGCCUGACCCAGGCCUUUCCGCUGCUUCCCACCAGUCCCAGCAGACAGCUAGACCAGUGUCCAGCCAUAGAAUGAACCACUAGUCCAGUUCACAGGCAGUAGCUCUCUUCUGGGAUUCCCAGACCUUUCUGGAAGGUCUCAGGAACAGAUACACAAUACAAGUUUAAAUACAUGGGCAACUGAGUGAAAGGUAAAGGCCUGUGAGACGUGUAAGAUCAUAAAGUCUGCGGAUUUUCUGGUAUCUCCCAGAUAUUUCCUUUCCCCUUUGCUCUGUUAUGGGCAUUUAAAAUUUUGCUUGGCUAUUUCUCUUCUACUUCUCAUUAUUUGGGUAAGUUUUCAAGCUACCCAUUUAAGGUCAUGUAUAUAUGAUGACUAGAAACAGAGAAUUUAAAUUGAUACAGUUGUGCAAGGAUUGCGCAUACUGCACCCCAAUUUUUAGGGAUUGUUUUGAUGCCAGAUCAUCUCUAUUUGUUUUCAUGUACUGCUCUUGGGAAGGGAUUUAAGCUACUUUUUAAGAAAAUCUACAAAAAUAAGGGUGUUUCUUUGUUCACAUGUUCCUGCAUAGCCCAAGCAGCCAAGCGAUGAUGGCAUCUGAGGAAGGAGCUGGUGUGUUUGCUUCAGGGUUUUGAAGAACAUGCACGCUCACAUAGGUUUUGGGUCAGCCUGAUGGUCCAUCAACCCAUGUCCUGUUGCAUGGUCAACAGCAGGUACUUAUAAAACAGGGGAAGACUGGUCUUGCUGUAAUUUUCUUCUUCAGGACAGCAGGAGAUGGCAUUUCAGGUGUUGCAUUUAGGAGUCCAGUGGACUUACCUUCCACAGUUUUUUUCUGAUUCUUUUUGAACCUGCAUGCUUUUGAUCACCCCAGCUUCUGCUGACAGUGUGCUCUGGAAAAAGGGAAAACAAAGCAAACCAUCUUUUGGUUUGCUCCAGAACUCUCUGCCCAAAGAUUUUCAUGGAUGAUCCCCAUUUCCUGAGCUCCAAGAAACAAUUGCUUCAUCAUCUUCUCUCCAUUCAGGGUUUCGUAGACUGCUGCUGCCAUUUCUUCCACCAUAUCUUUCCCAGGUUGAGAACUCCUACCAUGUCCCUCCUUGUGUGAAAGAGAUUUCUAUCUCUGGUUAUCCUUUUUUGUCUUCCUCAGAGCAGAACUUCACUCAUUGUUUGAGUAUUAACUCACAUCAUGAGUUUAUUCAGUGGUACAGAGAUGCUUUGGUUUUCAUUCUUCAUCCCUUUCCUAAUAAUUCAUAUCAUCCUGUUUGCUUUUCUUAGCCAGUGCUAAGGAAAGAGCCAACCUUUUCAGAGGACUACCAACAAGGACUCCAAUAUCUCUUUCCCAUGUGGUGAAACAAAUUUAAGGUCCAGAUGUGUGAAAGUUUCUAACUUUGGAAAUAGUAUCAACUGUGAAGAUGAAAGGUUUGAAAAAUAUCUUGUAAAGGAACUGGGCAAAAACAUCCAUGGGAUUUAUUGUAAAAUACAAAGAUAUCACCUGGCCAGGAAGAGCCAGACUGGAAACUGCGGGGAGCUGGGGAACUGCUAUGGAGGACAUUUAUGUUGUGUUUGUCUCGUUCUUCCUAGACGUUUGCUUUUGGUCACCAACAGAGAUAUGAAACUGAGGUAGCUGAACCUUUGCUCUGAGCCAAAAAACCUAUUUUAUCUUCUUAGCCUUUUGUUGGGAGGAGAUUUGUGAGGACAGAGUUGAAGCUGGAAAUGCCCUGCAUGUGCUGGAGAAGUAGCAUUUGAGUCAACGUAGCCUACCCAUACCUCACCAGUGUGGGGAGAAAAGAGAUCUGGAUCCCAGACACUUUCUGUAUAGUCUUCAGAGAGCUGGAUCCCAGGGCAGAAGUUUGAGAGCCCUAAGACAGAGGCAAAUCCUAGGGCCAAGAGCUGAAGAAAUAAAGACAGCUGUUAAGUCCUCAAAGCCAGCUGCCUUCACUUCCCACACUGAGGGCUUGGAUUCCAGACCUCAGCCCAGAAAUAAAUGUUUAAUCUUCAUUGAAAGCUUUAGUUUGGUAGGGAGGCCUCCUAUGACCUCACUUUUUUUUGUAUUGACCAGUGCAGGGCGGUAUAAGCGAUGAAACCUAGUAAUGGGCAAAAACACUGGACAGUGGUGUCAGUAAGAAGGAAGAAGUAUUGAUCACUUCCUAGCAGGUCACACUAAAGCUGGCCUCACAAAAGAUCUGCUGAAGCCUAUUAAUGAAGGCACAUCCUGGGAGAAAUCCUCUUAGAGCAGUGGAGGUGAGAACACAGAUGAUAUUACUGUUCCCAGCACCGCAAUCAUAGCGGAACAGGGCUGGGAAGGGAUAUUGAGAGUUCAGCGGGGCCAUGCCUUUUAUCUCAAGGGAGGAUCAAGUCCAUCCAUGUCAUAUGUCACCAGGCAGACAUGGUGUUAACAUGCUCUGAAAGACUCUCUGUGAUGAAGAUGCCACAACCUUUCCAGCCAAUCUAUUCUUAACCCAGAUCCUCCUGGCUGUGAUUUGGUCCAUUGCUUUUUCCCCCAUCCAGUAUGGGCACGAAAACAAGUUUAUUUCCUUCUCUGUAUCUGUCUUCAUGUCUUCAUAUACCAUGUCUUCUCAAUCCACAGUUCUGCAGACAAUUCUAUCUUAAUUUGGUCAGUUGGGUCCAGUACAACCUCCAUAAUCAUCUAUACUAGUAUAAGUGCUUGUGUGUACACACAUACAUAUGUCUGUGCAUGUAUGUAUAUUUUGAUGAUCAUCUUGACUUCUGGAGCUGGACAAUGCGGGGUUAUCAGGACUGCCACAAGUCUGAAAGUGUUUCCAACAUAAAAGAGCUGUUGGAAAAUUUGUUGUGAAAGAAAUAUUAUCCCUUUUCCCAUUUA